UUUCUUUUUGGUAGACGCCAAGCUAAUAGAUUCCGGUGUUUUUCCAGAAGGAAACAAAUGCCUUUGCAUCGAAAGAAGCAAUAAAAAAUAAGAGAAAGGGAGAAGCAGCGACAGCGAGCAGUGGGUGUCGUCGGGAUUCCGGUCGCCGAAAUUUUGGGUUAAAACCAAUUCCAAAUUGUAGCUCUUGUUGAGCUCUAUCUAUGUAUGUAAAAUUAGGUGGAAAGGGAGCCUCAAUCUCCACGAAUUUAUCAAAAGGUGGUGGCUAGGAUUUUGGUUUAGGCUAGAUUCGUGGAAUUUGGUUAGGAUUUGAAGGAUAUGAGGCUUGGAUUCAAGGAGAGGAGGUUGAGAGGAAGAAAUGGUAAAAUUUUGGGGUGGUUUGGAGGUUGCCCGCCACCGGUGGCGAAUUCCGGCGGGCGGAGCAGAGGCGGCGGUGGUAGAGGAGCAGGAGAGAAGAGAAAGGGGUUGCCCACCGGCGGUUGAGAAUUCUGGCGGACGGAGCAGAGGCGGCGAUGGCAGAGUAGUGGGAAAGAAGAGAGGGGCUCUAG
rnacentral:lncRNA from 1 species